GCUCCGAUGGCCUAGUGGUUAGAGCGUCCACCUCGGAUGCGGGAGGUCCUGCAUUCGAUUCCCGCACGAGUCA